AUACGGAGGGUGCAAGCGUUACUCGGAAUCACUGGGCGUAAAGCGCGCGCAGGCGGCUAUUUAAGUUGGAUGUGAAAGCCUACGGCUCAACCGUAGAACUGCAUCCAAAACUAUUUAGCUAGAGUGUGGGAGAGGAAGAUGGAAUUAGUUGUGUAGGGGUAAAAUCCGUAGAGAUAACUAGGAAUACCAAAAGCGAAGGCAAUCUUCUGGAACACUACUGACGCUGAGGCGCGAAAGCGUGGGGAGCAAACAGGAUUAGAAACACUAGUAGUCC
rnacentral:rRNA from 1 species